UUACUAAAAAAUUAAUAGUUAUUAUCUUUAAAUUUAAAAAAUUUGGCGGUAUUUUAGUCUUAUUAGAGGAACCUGUUUUUUAAUUGAUAAUCCACGAUUAAUUUUACUUAUUUUUUAAAUUCAUAUAUCGCUGUCAUGAAUAUAUUUAAAAAUUUAAUUUCUUUAAUUAUUUUAUUAAUUUAUGUUAAGUCAAGAUAUGGUUAAUAAAUAAGAAAAUAAUGGGUUACAUUAAAUUUUAUUUUUGGAUUGAAUAUGAAAAUUUAAAUGAAAUUGGAUUUAAUAGUAAAUUUAAUUAUUUUAUUAAUAUGAAUAAAGAUCUAAAAUAUGUACAUAUUGCCCGUCAUUCUUAUUAAAAAUAAGACAAGUCGUAACAAAGUAAAUGUACUGGAAAGUGUAUUUAGAAAGAAAAUUUUAAA
rnacentral:rRNA from 1 species